rnacentral:rRNA from 1 species
GUAGGGAAUAUUGGGCAAUGGUCGGAAGACUGACCCAGCCAUGCCGCGUGCAGGAAGACGGCCCUCUGGGUUGUAAACUGCUUUCAUCUGGGAAGAAAAAGGCCAUGCGUGGCAAAUUGCCGGUACCAGAUGAAUAAGCACCGGCUAACUCCGCGCCAGCAGCCGCGGUAAUACGGAGGGUGCGAGCGUUGUCCGGAUUUAUUGGGUUUAAAGGGUGCGUAGGCGGCUGAUUAAGUCAGAGGUGAAAGACUUCGGCUUAACCGGAGCAGUGCCGUUGAUACUGGUUGGCUUGAGUGUCGGAGGGGUACAUGGAAUUGAUGGUGUAGCGGUGAAAUGCAUAGAUACCAUCAGGAACACCGAUAGCGAAGGCAUUGUACUGGCCGACAACUGACGCUGAUGCACGAAAGUGUGGGGAUCGAACAGGAUUAGAAACCCUUGUAGUCC